CCAUAGUAUUUCUUUCUUCAUAUGCCACAUCAUAAUGGAAACAUAAGCCGAGCUCUGUAACGUGGGCUUGUGACCCAAUGUGGGGGCAUUAAGGUGGCUUGAAGAGUUAAGAGAGUACUCUACUGAAGAGGAAGCGUACGCAAUACAUAUAGGCCACGGUUAGAGAUUUGGAUUAGGUUACGAGUUUCUAACUCUUGGACCCGGUGCUGGCUUAUCAGAGCAGUGAUGUAUUCGACAAACGCAUUCCUCUCAGGUCCACUCUCAAUUUCCACUUCCACCUUUUUGCCCAUGAAAGAUUAAUCAGACAAUCAAUGCAGCCCUGCUGAAGCUGACUCUCAGGCAAACUCAGUGAGUCAAUUAUGUUUGGUUUUCUCUCUUCAAGACAGCUACUUUUUGUUACAAAUAGGAGGAGGACCCAGUUGGGUCUUCUUAAGAAAAAUGCUUUCUUUAUCAUCCAAUCAUUUACAUCAGUAGGUUGUUUAUCUGAAUCAGAGUUUGAAAAUGAACCAGAAAGAAAUCAUUUUACAGUGUCUUAUCUCGUAAAAUCAUGUGGGUUGUCAUCAAAAUCAGCUCUAUUAGCAUCCAACAAGGUACACUUUCAAAACCCAGAUAGGCCAGACUCAGUGCUUAGUCUUCUCAAAGAGAAUGGAUUCGACAAUACCCAAAUCACCAAAAUUAUUAGGAGUCGCCCAACUUUGCUUUUAGCUGAUCCUGAGAAUACCCUUUUGCCAAAGAUUCAGUUUUUCCGUUCUAUAGGGGUUUCAGGCUCUGACCUCCCUAGAAUCCUCACUAUAAGCCCUGACCUACUGCGAAGGAGCUUGACUAAUCACCUAAUUCCAUGCUAUGAUUUCCUUAAAAGUGUGCUUCUUGAGAAUGAGAAAGUCAUUACAACUAUGAAGCGCUCACAGCGUGCUUUUCUAUGUGAUGUAACCAAUGUUAUGGCUCCAAAUGUUGCUCUUUUGAGAGAACUUGGAGCACCUCAAUCUGCCAUCUCUCUUUUGGUGACUCAUUCUCCGAGUAUGGCAUUCAUUACACAUGCGAAGUUUGUUAAGGCCGUCCAGGAGGUUAAGGAAUUGGGCUUUGAUCCUUCAAAAGCAUUGUUUGUGCAGGCAAUCCAAGCGGUUUUGAAGUUGAAAAAACCAAUGUGGGAAUCUAAAUUUGAGAUUUUUAGGAGGUGGGGUUGGUCUGAAGCGGACACUCUCUUAGCAUUUAAAAAGCAUCCAAUUUGUAUGCUUUUAUCAGAGGAGAAGAUCACAAAAGCAAUGGAAUUCCUUGUGAGCAAAUUGGGUUUCUCAUCAAAAAGUAUUGCUAAAAAUCCUGUGGUUCUGAAUUUAAGCUUGGAGAAGAGGAUUAUCCCUAGGUGUUCAGUUGUUCAAAUUUUGUUAGCCAAGGAUUUGGUCAAGAAUGACUUAAGCUUAGCAACUUUCUUACUACCUACUGAGAAGUAUUUUUUGGAGAAGUUUGUGAUCAGAUUUCAGGAUAAUGUUCCUCAAUUGUUGAGUGUGUAUCAAAAUAAGAUGGAGCUUCUGGAUGUAGAAAUUCAAUCUGAGAAGGUUCCUGCUUGUGCAGGCUCUAGGAAAGGUGAUACCCACGAGACAUGGCUUAAGUGGAGAGCAGUUGCCAUUACAACAAAGUCUGACUGCAGGAUCGAGCUAAAAAGCAGUGGCGUAUUGGACACGAGUUAGUACCUACUGAGAAGCGUUUUCUGGAGAAGUUUGUGAUCAGAUUUCAGGAUGAUGUUCCUCAAUUGUUGAGUGUGUAUCAAAAUAAGAUGGAUCUUCUGGAUGUGCAAUUUCAAUCUGAGGAGAGUUUGAAUGUGGAGGAGGAGUUGUCUUCAAGGAACCGGUUGAAAAUCUUGGGGUAAAUUUACCGUAAAUUCUGUUGUUUCUUGAACUGCUUGCCUUAAUAAACCAUAGUCCUCAACAUUGUUCAUCUCACCAUUGAUAUGGUGCGUUAGGUAUGCAUUUGAAUAAUAAAGAUUUUCUGCAGUUUUAGGAAUGAAAGUCAUUGACUGUGUCUAUUGAGUAAUCUGCUAUAGUAAUCACAUAGUUGUGGAACUAUAUAAGAUGAAUUGAUUAGUCCUUAAUCACAUAGUUGUGGAACUAUUUAAGAUGAAUUAAUCAGUCUUUUCUUUUGUGACAAAUGUUUUUCUAGAUGCUGUGAUUAACAUUUCUUCCCAUUUCUCAUCUGUUGAAUGGUGCAUUGGAUAUGAACUUUUCUUUUUCCUCUUUGAAAGAGAAUUACUUGGGACAGGCUGUCUAUUGCCACAAAAAUGACAUAUUAAAAUCCACGCUGUAGACACUCCUUAAGUUCUCACCAUUCAAUCUAUAUGUAUAUUGUCUCAUCAACCAUUAAGGGUUUAUUAUUAUUAGAUGUCCCUCCUUUCCACUGUUGAUAUUCCAGUUUAAUUCCAAUAUUAUAUUAUAAUGAAAUUGCUUAUUGCACUCUUUAUUAAUAUGAAAGUGUUUGCCAAAG